rnacentral:rRNA from 1 species
AGAGUUUGAUCCUGGCUCAGGAUGAACGCUGGCGGCGUGUCUAAGGCAUGCAAGUCGUAUGGGUUUAGACCCAUGGCAAACGGGAGAGGAGCACAUUGGUAACUUACCCUGAAGUCGAGAAUAACUCCGAGAAAUCGGAAAUAAUACUCGAUGAUCGUGGGGGGACAUAUGUCAUUCCCACGUAAAGAUUUAUCGCUUCAGGAGAGGCCUACGUCCUAUCAGCUUGUUGGUGAGGGUAAAAGCCCACCAAGGCUAUGACGGGUACCGGGUGUGAGAGCAUGACCCGGCUCACUGGGACUGAGACACUGCCCAGACUCCUACGGGAGGCUGCAGUCAAGAAUAUUCCCCAAUGCACGAAAGUGUGAGGGAGCGACGCCGCGUGUAUGAAGACGCCCUUCGGGGUGUAAAGUACUUUUUUAUGGGACGAAUUUCUGACGGUACCAUAAGAAUAAGGGGCUGCUAACCUCGUGCCAGCAGCAGCGGUAAUACGAGGGCCCCAAGCGUUAUCCGGAUUUAUUGGGCGUAAAGGGUCCGCAGGCGGCCUUAUGCAUCUUCUGUUAAAUCUACCGGCUCAACCGGUAGGCCGCGGAAGAGAUGGUAAGGCUAGAGGCCGGGAAAGGCGAGUAGAAUUGCUGGUGUAGGAGUUAAAUCCGUUAAUAUCAGCAGGAAUACCAAAUGCGAAGGCAGCUCGCUGGAACGUGCCUGACGCUCAGGGACGAAAGCGUGGGUAGCGAAGGGGAUUAGAUACCCCCGUAGUCCACGCCGUAAACGAUGGAUGCUAAGCAUUGGCAGUUUCGACCCUGUCAGUGCUGUUUAUUUAAGCUAACGCGUUAAGCAUCCCGCCUGGGGAGUACGGCCGCAAGGCUAAAACUCAAAGGAAUAGACGGGGACCCGCACAAGCGGUGGAGCGUGCGGUUUAAUUCGAUAAUACGCGAGGAACCUCACCCAGACUUGACAUCUAGCUGCAGACCCUAGGAAACUAGGGAGCCUUCGAGGGUGCUAGACAGAUGGUGCAUGGUUGUCGUCAGCUCGUGUCGUGAGAUGUACCGUUAAGUCGGGAAACGAGCGCAACCCCUAUCCUAUGUUUUACAUGUCAUAGGAAACUGCCCGCUUUAAGUGGGAGGAAGGUGGGGACGACGUCAAAUCAGCAUGUCUCUUACGUCUGGGGCGACACGCGCGCUACAAUGGGAAGUACAAAGGGACGCCAAACCGCGAGGUGGAGCAAAUCCCAUAAAACUUCUCUCAGUUCGGAUUGGAGUCUGCAACUCGACUCCAUGAAGCCGGAAUCGCUAGUAAACGCAUAUCAGCCACGGUGCGUUGAAUACGUUCUCGGGUCUUGUACUCACCGCCCGUCACACCAAGAGAGCCGGCAAUACCCGUAGGUCCAGCCUAGCUGGAACGAAGGUAGGGCUGGUGAUAAGGGUGAAGUCGUAACAAGGCA